CAGUAGCCGCGGGAAAACGUAGGGUGCAAGCGUUAAUCGGAAUUACUGGGCGUAAAGCGUGCGCAGGCGGUUUGUUAAGACAGAUGUGAAAUCCCCGGGCUCAACCUGGGAACUGCAUUUGUGACUGGCAAGCUAGAGUAUGGCAGAGGGGGGUGGAAUUCCGCGUGUAGCAGUGAAAUGCGUAGAUAUGCGGAGGAACACCGAUGGCGAAGGCAGCCCCCUGGGCCAAUACUGACGCUCAUGCACGAAAGCGUGGGGAGCAAACAGGAUUAGAUACCCCGGUAGUCCCUGUCUCUUAUAC
rnacentral:rRNA from 1 species